CGAACGGUAACAGGAAGCAGCUUGCUGCUUUGCUGACGAGUGGCGGACGGGUGAGUAAUGUCUGGGAAACUGCCUGAUGGAGGGGGAUAACUACUGGAAACGGUGGCUAAUACCGCAUAACGUCGCAAGACCAAAGAGGGGGACCUUCGGGCCUCUUGCCAUCAGAUGUGCCCAGAUGGGAUUAGCUUGUUGGUGAGGUAACGGCUCACCAAGGCGACGAUCCCUAGCUGGUCUGAGAGGAUGACCAGCCACACUGGAACUGAGACACGGUCCAGACUCCUACGGGAGGCAGCAGUGGGGAAUAUUGCACAAUGGGCGCAAGCCUGAUGCAGCCAUGCCGCGUGUAUGAAGAAGGCCUUCGGGUUGUAAAGUACUUUCAGCGGGGAGGAAGGUGUUGUGGUUAAUAACCACAGCAAUUGACGUUACCCGCAGAAGAAGCACCGGCUAACUCCGUGCCAGCAGCCGCGGUAAUACGGAGGGUGCAAGCGUUAAUCGGAAUUACUGGGCGUAAAGCGCACGCAGGCGGUCUGUCAAGUCGGAUGUGAAAUCCCCGGGCUCAACCUGGGAACUGCAUUCGAAACUGGCAGGCUUGAGUCUUGUAGAGGGGGGUAGAAUUCCAGGUGUAGCGGUGAAAUGCGUAGAGAUCUGGAGGAAUACCGGUGGCGAAGGCGGCCCCCUGGACAAAGACUGACGCUCAGGUGCGAAAGCGUGGGGAGCAAACAGGAUUAGAUACCCUGGUAGUCCACGCCGUAAACGAUGUCUACUUGGAGGUUGUGCCCUUGAGGCGUGGCUUCCGGAGCUAACGCGUUAAGUAGACCGCCUGGGGAGUACGGCCGCAAGGUUAAAACUCAAAUGAAUUGACGGGGGCCCGCACAAGCGGUGGAGCAUGUGGUUUAAUUCGAUGCAACGCGAAGAACCUUACCUGGUCUUGACAUCCACAGAACUUUCCAGAGAUGGAUUGGUGCCUUCGGGAACUGUGAGACA
rnacentral:rRNA from 1 species